UACGAACUGUGCAAACGUUAUUCGGAAUCACUGGGCUUACAGGGUGCGUAGGCGGCUUGCUAAGUAGGGUGUGAAAGCCCCCGGCUUAACCGGGGAAUGGCGCCCUAAACUGGCGAGCUGGAGUGAGAUAGGGGUGUGCGGAACUUCCGGUGGAGCGGUGAAAUGUGUUGAUAUCGGAAGGAACGCCGGUGGCGAAAGCGGCACACUGGAUCUCAACUGACGCUGAGGCACGAAAGCCAGGGGAGCGAACGGG
rnacentral:rRNA from 2 species